rnacentral:rRNA from 1 species
CGUGGAGACAGGUGGUGCAUGGCUGUCGUCAGCUCGUGUCGUGAGAUGUUGGGCUAAGUCCCGCAACGAGCGCAACCCUCACCUCUUGUUGCCUUCAGGUCAUGCUGGGCACUCUAGAGGAACUGCCCCGGUCAACGGGGAGGAAGGCGGGGAUGACGUCAAGUCAUCAUGCCCCUUACGUCCUGGGCUACACACGUGCUACAAUGGCCGGUACAAAGGGAUGCCACACCGCGAGGUAGAGCUAAACCCAAAAAGCCGGUCUAAGUUCAGAUUGGAGUCUGCAACUCGACUCCAUGAAGGAGGAAUCGCUAGUAAUCGCGUAUCAGCACGACGCGGUGAAUACGUUCCCGGGCCUUGUACACACCGCCCGUCACACCACGAAAGCCUGCUGUACUCGAAGUCGCUGAG